rnacentral:rRNA from 1 species
UACAGAGGUGGCAAGCGUUGUUCGGAAUUACUGGGCUUAAAGGGUGCGUAGGCGGCGCGGAAAGUAGGGUGUGAAAUCCCUCGGCUCAACCGAGGAAUUGCGCCCUAAACUACCGUGCUCGAGGGAGAUAGAGGUGAGCGGAACUUAGGGUGGAGCGGUGAAAUGCGUUGAUAUCCUAAGGAACACCGGUGGCGAAAGCGGCUCACUGGAUCUCUUCUGACGCUGAGGCACGAAAGCUAGGGUAGCGAACGGG